AAUUUUUUGAGUAGUGUUGGCAACUGGUAAAAUAUGUUGAUUGUUAAGCAAUAUUUCAUGAGCUAGGAGAUGCCUAUGCAGUUUAUUGAAUAAAACUUAAUCUAGUCUUAGAUUGAGAGCUAAAAUGAGAUUACGAUAUUUACUUUUUAUAUUCUUGUCAAUGAUGACACUGAACUCAGAGGGUGUGAUUGUUCGACCUACAAAUGCUAGUUCAUCAGCCAUAGACUUUGUCUUUUGGAGAUAUUGAGAAGUUGUCAUAUCAUUUUUAUUGAGUUCUUGCAAUGCAAUGUUGAAUUACAGUUGCCUAUUGUGUGAAAUCCAAGGGCAUUACAAACCUC
rnacentral:lncRNA from 1 species